ensembl:lncRNA
AAGCAAAUUUAUUAAAAUGUGUCCAUUACUGAAUAAUGACUCUUUAAAGGCAGUAUAUAAUAAUAAUAUAUAAUAAUGACUGUCUUUAAAGACAGUACAUAAAAACAGUUUAUAGUGACAUGAAGUUUUGGAAAAAAAAAAAAAAAAAGAAGACAGUCAUAAUAUCCAUUACCUGAACUUACAAUUGUCUAGGAAGGAAAUCCCAUCUUCAUUUAUUCCUAGAUCUCUAAUUAAAAGCUCUGCCAUAAAUCCCCAGCAUCUGCAUUUCUAUUGUAUUGUAUUUAUUGUGUUGCAUCAAGAUUCACUGAAAGAAGUUAUAGAGGACUCUUGACGCAUUACACAAACUUUUCUCUUGAAGUAGAUUUAGUGAGGGUUACAAAAUCUAUCUUUAAGGAAGAUUCAAUAAAGUAUAUGAGGAAAUAAUUUGGAGUUGACUGUAAAUAAGAAACAUUCUCAGCCUCACACAGGAAAUUACUGAAGUCUAUUUGGCGUCACCAGUUUACAUCAAACAGGGAAGACGGGCUCUUGGUGUUUUGCAUUUAACAUUGUCUCUCCAUACCCAGUGCCAGCCUUCACUUUUAGAACAAGAAGAUUUCUAGUUUUUGUUAAAAAUACAAGUGCCCCUUCCCAGGCAUGCAGGAUUUCUCAUAGGCUCCCUAUGAUGGUAGGGGUGGGGUUUGCUGCCUAGGUGAGCUACCAGGUGUAGCAGUGCCCCUCAAGAAUUCCUUGGGGCUUGAGGAACAACACGUGGCCAAAGGCUUAUAGGGACAGGUGCAAUCCUAUCAGUUAUAGAUGGGGAAUCUCCUUCGGGUGACAGGCACAGGGAGCACAGCCGUGACUUAGCAGCCCCCAGCUGCCUGUUUCUUUCUUCCUGCAGGAGGGUUUCCCAUGGAGGGCCUUACACCUGCAAACUCUGGCUUGUGUUGCCAGGGCUGCUGGGCCUGUGCUAAGGCAUUUGGAUGCCUCCAUGGUGUCAACGCUACUGGGAGCCUUAGAAGCCGAAAUGCUUGUCAGCACUUGGUAUACCGGAGCUUUGCAGACAACCCCAGAUCCAUCUUCACAGACACAGAGUGAGUGCAGAAACUAUUUUUGGCAACAUCACAGCAAUCCAGAUUUAAUUCUGACACUUCUUUGCCUUCCUGAAAUCCAAGUAAGACAUCUGGCUGCAUUUUCUGUGUAUGUUUGUGAAGUGCUAUUGAAAUCAUUUGUAUCAGUGGUGAAUUUGGAUAUAGAAAUGUGACUAGAAGGUGCAUAUGGGGAGGAGGGGACCAAAAGCCCGGGUUAUGAGUAAAAAAUGAAUGGCAACUCUUCACUGUAUAAUGCGCUUACUGAAAGCUGAGAAUAAGAUGUCAUUCUGAAUAUGCUUCUGUGGACUUUUAACUUUCCGUAGUGCUUCUAUGUUGCUCAGACCCAUGAUUUAUAUGGAAUUAUGCAUAUGCAUGACAUGCGAGGAAGGGGAGAGGAUGGCUCUGCCUGAUUUGUGAGGGAGUCCCUGCCGAAGGCAUCUGUGGUCCUUGCUAAGGGUGUGCUCCCAGCAGCCCCUUAGAAGAAUAGCUGACUUACGAGUUCGUGAGUUAUCAGUUAAUUUAAUAAAAUUUAGGGCGGCCACA